rnacentral:rRNA from 1 species
GACGAACGCUGGCGGCGUGCUUAACACAUGCAAGUCGAACGAAGUGGCGAACGGGUGAGUAACGCAUAAUCAACCUGCCCUUCAGAGGGGGACAACAGUUGGAAACGACUGCUAAUCCCGAAUACUGAAGGAGUGGGUUGCGUCGGAUUAGCGAGUUGGAGGGGUAACGGCCAAACAAGGCGAUGAUCAGUAGCCGGUCUGAGAGGAUGAACGGCCACAUUGGGACUGAGACACGGCCCAGACUCCUACGGGAGGCAGCAGUGGGGAAUCUUCCGCAAUGGACGAAAGUCUGACGGAGCAACGCCGCGUGAGUGAUGACGGCCUUCGGGUUGUAAAGCUCUGUUAAUCGGGACGCGGUACCGGAAUAGAAAGCCACGGCUAACUACGUGCCAGCAGCCGCGGUAAUUC